rnacentral:tRNA from 1 species
GUCCCUGUAGCUUACACAAAGCAUGGCACUGAAGAUGCCAAGAUGGCUGUUACACACACACCCAGGGACA